rnacentral:misc_RNA from 1 species
AAAACAUUCAAAUAAUAUAAAAAAUAAAAUAUAUAUUGACAUGGAUUAAACAAAGAUAUAUAUUAUUCUAUGUUGUAUAAACAAAUUGGCAAAAUAGAGAUGGAAGAUAAAAAUAUGGUCAAAGUAAUAAGAGUCUAUGGUGAAUGCCUAGGAGCUUUAAGGCGAAGAAGGUCGUGGUAAGCUGCGAAAAGCUUGGGGGAGAAGCAAACAUUUAUUGAUCCCAAGAUUACCGAAUGGAGUAAUCCAGCUAGCAAGAUGCUAGCUAUCUAUUAUUUAAAUAAUAGAGGCGAUACC